rnacentral:rRNA from 1 species
AUAAAUUUUAAUUAAGAAAAAUAAUUUUUUUUAUUAUAAUAAAGUAAAUUUUAUUGAAAUUUUAAUUUUAGCAAUAGUAAAUAAGUAUUGUAAAAGAAAAUUGAAAUAUAAUGAAAAUUUAAUUAGUUUAAAGUAGUUAUUAAAAUUUGUAUCUUGUGUAUCAUAGAUUAUCAAUUUUCUUUUUAUAUAAAAAUAUCUCGAAAAAAAAAGAGUUAAAUUUAAAUAAAAGUUUUUAUAUCAUAAAAAUUUAUAAUUUAAAUUUAGAAGUGAAAUAUUAGUCGGGUUUUUAUAUCUGGUUUUUUUUGAAACGAAUUUAAUUCGGUUUGUAUUUAAAAUUUAAAUAUGAUCUAAGAAAAUAAGGGUAGAGCUUUAUUUUCUAAUAAGAAGAAAUAUAAAAUAAAUUUAAAUUAUAUAGAAUAAUUAGGCUUAGAAGUAGUCUUAUUUUUUAAGUGUUUUAACUAAUAAUUUGUUUUUCAUUAUUUAUAUAUUUUUAUUUUUUCUAAUUAAAGGUAAGUUAUAAUUAUAAAAAAUUAGUCAACCUGAUUAUAUAAGUAUAAAAAAAAUGUUUUAUAAAAAUAAAAUAAAAUUUUAAAUAAAAUAUUUAUUUUUAAUAAUAAAAUAAAGGAAUUCGGCAAAUAAAGUUUCCGCCUGUUUAACAAAAACAUCUCUAUAUGAAAUUAUAUAAAGUUUAGCCUGCCCACUGAAAAUAAUUUAAAGGGCCGCAGUAUCUUGACUGUGCAAAGGUAGCAUAAUCAUUAGUCUUUUAAUUGGAGGCUAGAAUGAAUGGCUGGACGUGAAACAAACUGUCUUUAAAUUAAAUUUUGAAUUUAACUUUUAAGUGAAAAGGCUUAAAUAAGUUUGAGGGACGAUAAGACCCUAUAAAUCUUAACAUUUAAUUUAUUUAUUAAAUAAUAUUUAUAAGUAUAUAAUUAUUAAAUAAAAAUAAUGUUUUAUUGGGGAGAUAAGAAUAUAAUAUUUAACUGUUUAAAUAAUAUUACAAUUAUUUUUGAUUUAAUUUAGUAGAUCCUUUUUUAAGAUUAAAAAAUUAAGUUACUUUAGGGAUAACAGCGUUAUUUUUUUUGAGAGUUCAUAUCGAAAAAAAAGUUUACGACCUCGAUGUUGAAUUAAAAAUCCUUUGUGGUUGCAGAAGCUAUAAAAGGAAGUCUGUUCGACUUUUGAAAUUUUACAUGAUUUGAGUUCAGACCGGCGUAAGCCAGGUUGGUUUCUAUCUUCUAAGAAAAUAAAAAUUACUUUAGUACGAAAGGAUUAAGUAGUUAAAAUAAUUUUAUCAAUUUGAUUAAU